GGCAUAUACAUGCAAGUAUCCGCGUCCCAGUGUAAAUGCCCCUCUCACCCUAUUAGAGUAGAGGGAGCAGGUAUCAGGCACACCCUCAAUGGUAGCCCAAAACACCUUGCUCGGCCACACCCCCACGGGUAUUCAGCAGUAAUUAAUCUUAAGCAAUGAGUGUAAACUUGACUUAGCUAUAGCAUCCUAGGGUCGGUAAAUCUUGUGCCAGCCACCGCGGUCACACAAGAGACCCAAAUUAACUGCAAACACGGCGUAAAGAGUGGUAUCAUGUUAUCUCAACACCUAUGACCGAAAUGCAACUGAGCUGUCAUAAGCCUAAGGUGCACAUAAGGCCACCAUAAAGACGGUCCUAGUCCAUACGAUCAAAGUAAACUCCACGAAAGCUAAGGCACAAACUGGGAUUAGAUACCCCACUAUGCUUAGCCCUGAAUCCUGAUACUUACAUUACCAAAGUAUCCGCCUGAGAACUACGAGCACAAACGCUUAAAACUCUAAGGACUUGGCGGUGCCCCAAACCCACCUAGAGGAGCCUGUUCUAUAAUCGAUGACCCACGAUACACCCAACCUCCCCUCGCCAGGGCCAGCCUACAUACCGCCGUCGCCAGCUCACCUCCCCUGAUAGCACAACAGUGAGCAUAAUAGUCCUAACCCCACUAGUACGACAGGUCAAGGUAUAGCCUAUGGGAAGGAAAGAAAUGGGCUACAUUUUCUAACAUAGAAAACCAACGGAAAGGGAUUAUGAAACUCUCCCUGGAAGGCGGAUUUAGCAGUAAAGCAGGACAAUAGAGCCUUCUUUAAACCGGCUCUGGGGUACGUACAUACCGCCCGUCACCCUCCUCAUAAGCCACCACCCACAAUAACUUAAUACCCCCUACCAGCUAGAGAUGAGGUAAGUCGUAACAAGGUAAGUGUACCGGAAGGUGCACUUAGCAUAA
rnacentral:ncRNA from 1 species